UACGUAGGGUGCAAGCGUUGUCCGGAAUUACUGGGCGUAAAGAGCUCGUAGGCGGUCUGUCGCGUCUGCUGUGAAAACUCAGGGCUUAACCCUGAGCUUGCAGUGGGUACGGGCAGACUAGAGUGCGGUAGGGGAGACUGGAAUUCCUGGUGUAGCGGUGAAAUGCGCGAGAUAUCAGGAGGAACACCGGUGGCGAAGGCGGGGUCUCUGGGCCGUA
rnacentral:rRNA from 1 species